CCUGUGCCGAGGGCCUUUCCCAAGGAGGAUAUAGGACUGAAAAGAAGAAAUUGCAUCAAGAAUGUGGUUCCUCCUUUUUGUUACUCUCCCAGCUUUUGUCCAACACGUUGUUCUUCACCUUCAACAAAAUACCAAAAUGAACGUGAUGGGUGUGGUAUGUUUGGCAGCCUGGGACAAAUCAGAGAAGGAUGUGAAAUGGGUUCACACCAGAUAGGACCGAACCAGGCAGGAUAGCAGCUCAACUGGAGGACCUUGGCAGCCUUGAGUUGCAUUGUGAAGGUCUCAGGAAUUUCCGGGCUCCAGGAUGCAGAGGUGGGAAGAACACGUGCUCUCCAUGCCAUUACGAGUACCUGAUGUUUCACCUGGAGCAUCCUCAAAGGACAGAAAAGACGACUUUCACCAACUCUUAGGAAAUGGCCGACUCUUCUCUGAGACCAUCCCAUGCUCACUGCCCACAACCCACAACCUGUCUGCCCACCCCAGCUGUGGGGUCUGCUGUUGAUCUCCAUGCGCCUGACCAGGCCCACCCAGCUGGCCCAAAAGGCAGGCUUCGAACAGAGACCUUCUCAAAGCGCUUCUGAGGGUGCCUAGCAGGGAGGUCGCUCCCCCAGAGCACAGAUGCCUCACCUUCUCCCUGUGACUCCACCCCCAGGGACUCGACUGCCUUCUUGGCUGGACUCAUGGGACCUCCAGGAAGAUGCUGAGGAAGUGGAAAGGCCAGCGCCCUCUGGGUGGGUCUCCUGGGAAGGCCUGUGAGGGGCCUGGGAAAUGAUCACAGGCUUUAUCCAGCCUUGGGAAACUCACUGGAGGCCAGGUCCUGGUUGGGAGCUGGGUCCUGGGCCCCCCUUGGGCCCUAAGAAGAGCUGGGCUCAGCUUCCUUCUCUCCCAGCAGUAACUACAUGAGACAGUGGCCACAGUGAGGAGACAGAACCCGGAGUGAACCAGCUGCAGGAAGUCCUGGCUUUGUUCUCGAGGCUGUGAGGCCCAGAGAGCAGGCACUGGUGCUAGCUCUUUGCUGUCCGGUGUGGCUCCAGCAGUCCCUCCUGAUAUGGUCUCCUCUCCUCAGCCCUGUGCUCCCCACUUCGACUGCAGGCAAACAGGGGGAUGCACUGGCCUAAACACGCCCACCCAGCCCUGCACCUGCUCACCUGCCUUCCCCAGCCAACGAGAUGGGGGCACAGCCUCUGGCCUUCCCAACACACGGUCCAGGGUGGUCCUGCUGCUGACACACGCCACGAGCUCCUCACGGGCUGGAGCACGUUUCACAAGGCUAAGCACGGUGCUAGCUGAGAACUAAUGCUCAGUGGGGAGAGGCCACAGCAGACAGAGCAGGAGAAGGGCCAGGGCAGUGGGUCCAUCUGCAGCCCUCAAGGGGCUCAAGCACAUAGCACAUGGCAGGGUUAGCACAGCUGAGCCUGGGAACAGGGGUGACAGGCAGGGGAGAGGCAGCCCUCCAACACACACACACUGACACAUGCUCACAAUUACAUGAGCUGCGUUCUAACAGGUAUACUGGAGACUUGAAUCCAUUUCUCCUUUAACCAUGGCACCCUCUCCCCAUCACAUACACCCUUACCUGCUCUCGAUUUCCUGUGUCACAGCAAUGGCUAACACAUGCCCCUUGUCUCCCAUCAGAAGACAAAUCAAUCCCUCCCUUGCUCUACCGGGCUUGGAGACCACAGAAUGUAUUUGCCUCUCAUUCAAAGUGACGUCAGCCAGAGGAUGGGGUUGGCAGGGCUGGGAUAAGUAGAGGUGCAGGGGUGGUGGGGCAGCAGGAAGGGCAAAGACCUCAGCAGCUCUAGGAGCCACCUUGGCAGCAAGAGCCACCUUGUGAUCUGGACAGACCCUGGUCCAGGCAUCCAUGUAGCCUCUAGGAAAAAUGUAGCAUCUCCAGUAGAGAUCUAGCAUCUCCAGUAUGGGGUAAGAGAGAGAGGGGUGAACACUUUCAAGGAGAUUUCCAAGCAUCUUUGAUCGUUCCGACCUACCUCACAGUUGGCUGUGAAACUUCAAUGAGAUCAUGGAUGUGAAAUGCGCUUUGAGACAACUACUCGUUGACUCAUUCAUCGAAAAUGUGUUGAGAGCCUAGAAUGUGUCAGGCAUUGUGCUUGAGCCAAGAGAGAGGGUAGAAAAGAUAAACACAUAAAACAGAGAAAGAAAAUAAACAGUACAUGAGCCACCACAAUCCCUCCUUUCUAAGCCGCAGGCAGACAUGACUAAUCAAGCAUAGCUCUCUUUAUCACAGAACCUGGGAAGGACCUCAGAAUUCUUCUCAACACAGUUCUCUAGGCAGCUACUCCUAAUUGAAUGUUAUGGAUUGAAUAUUUGUUUCCCUCCCAAAUUCAUAUGUUGAAGCCCUAACCUCCAGGGUGGCUAUAUUUAGAGAUCAAGCCCCUACGGAACAAUUAUGAUUAAAUGCAGUCUUAAGGGUGGGGUCCUGAUCUUAUAAGAUUAGUGUCCUUAUAAGAAGAGAUGCCAGAGAGCUCACUCCCUCUCUCCCUGUCCUCACACAUCAUAUGAGCACAUAGCAAGAUGGCAGCUGCCUACAAGCCAAGAAAAGAAGCCUCAGGAUGAAACCUACCUUGUAGGCACCUUGAUCUUGGACUUCCAACCUCCAGAA